GUCGUAACAAGGUUUCCGUAGGUGAACCUGCGGAAGGAUCAUUAAUGUACACGUCAAGUGUUCUUUAUUUUACCUAACUAUAAGUCUGAAUGAAAACAAAAAUUUUAAAACUUUUAACAACGGAUCUCUUGGUUCUCGCAUCGAUGAAGAACGCAGCAAAAUGCGAUAAGUAUUGUGAAUUGCAGGAUUUAGUGAAUCAUCGAAUUUUUGAACGCACAUUGCGCCCUCUGGUAUUCCGGAGGGCAUACCUGUUUGAGCGUCAUUUAAAUCUCACAAUUAUUGUGGUGUUGAGUAUAUCAUUUUUGAUUAACUCGAAAUGCAGUGGUGAAUAAGUGUAAGCAGUGCUAUUAACAUCUCACUGUGGAAGCCUAAAGCGCCUAACAUUUUCUACUUUGACCUCAAAUCAGGCAGG
rnacentral:misc_RNA from 1 species